UGCUAUUUACUGAGCGCUUACC
rnacentral:miRNA from 13 species